CAUUAUGCCACCCCAUACAAUACAACCUUCUCCUCCUCUUCCUCCUCUGUCCACCACUUAUUUAAUUUUCUCCUUCCUCAUCCUGGCACGCACCUGAAAAAUAUAUGGCUACAAUUUUUUCAUCGUAAUCUCCAUCGGCCAACGACAACCACAUCCCUACAGCCACCAUAGCUCUACAACUCGUUGCUAUUUUUGCCUCCGCUUCUUGCCACCUGUCGUCGCCAGAAGAUGGAUAAACUCUGCAAGCGCAACCGUACUAAGAUCCAACGCGUCUUUGCUUUUGGUGGCUUCAGCCAAUUUUUCUCCUCAUGGGUCCACUUCCAAUGCAUGCACUCCAUGGAAAAGGACCCCAACUCAACCACUCUUUCCUCUGACGACAAGCUACCAAAAGAAGAACACAAGAACAUUAAACGCAUUGUUAAUAUUCUUGGGCUGCCUCACUAUUUUACUUAGCCUGUUGGGCUACACUUUAUUCUUGGGCCGCCUAUUUUCUAAAAUCAGGUUGGAAAUGUAAAACGUGUUUUAUAAAAGGACCACUUUUCCUCUUUUUAAAUGGGUUGUGAUUUGUCAUCCACGUGGCUUACUCUUGACCCUGG
rnacentral:lncRNA from 1 species